UGGGGAAUUUUGGACAAUGGGCGCAAGCCUGAUCCAGCCAUGCCGCGUGUCUGAAGAAGGCCUUCGGGUUGUAAAGGACUUUUGUCAGGGAAGAAAAGGCUGUCGCUAAUACCGACAGCUGAUGACGGUACCUGAAGAAUAAGCACCGGCUAACUACGUGCCAGCAGCCGCGGUAAUACGUAGGGUGCGAGCGUUAAUCGGAAUUACUGGGCGUAAAGCGAGCGCAGACGGUUACUUAAGCAGGAUGUGAAAUCCCCGGGCUCAACCUGGGAACUGCGUUCUGAACUGGGUGACUAGAGUGUGUCAGAGGGAGGUAGAAUUCCACGUGUAGCAGUGAAAUGCGUAGAGAUGUGGAGGGAUACCGAUGGCGAAGGCAGCCUCCUGGGAUAACACUGACGUUCAUGCUCGAAAGCGUGGGUAGCAAACAGGAUUAGAUACCCUGGUAGUCCACGCCCUAAACGAUGUCAAUUAGCUGUUGGGCAACUUGAUUGCUUAGUAGCGUAGCUACGCGUGAAAUUGACCGCCUGGGGAGUACGGUCGCAAGAUU
rnacentral:rRNA from 1 species